rfam:Smithella sp. SCADC Smithella_SCADC_Contig_228, whole genome shotgun sequence.
AAGAGCCGUAUGACGGGAGACUGUCACGUACGGUUCCGUGAGCGGCUCGGGGGGAAGUUCCCCGGGCCUACUCGAC